GACGAACGCUGGCGGCGUGCUUAACACAUGCAAGUCGAACGGAAAGUCCCUGCUUGCAGGGUACCCGAUUGGCGAACGGUUGAGUAACACGCUGGUGAUCUGCCCUGCACUUCGGGAUAAGUCCGGGUAACUGGUUCUAUUUCCGGAUAGGAGCCUUUUCUAGUGUGAUUGUUGGAGAGUUUUUUUCGGUGUAGGAUGAGCUCGCGGCCUAUCAGUUUGUUGGUGGGGUAAUGGCCUACCAAGACGGCGACGGGUAGCCGGCCUGAGAGGGUGGACGGCCACAGUGAGACUGAGAUUCGGACACGACUCCUACGGGAGGCAGAAGUGGGGGAUAUUGCAAAAUGGGCGCAAGCCUGAUGCAGAGACGCCGCGUGGGGGAUGACGGUCUUCGGGUUGUGAAUGCCUUGCGCUAGGGACGAAGCUUAUUGUGACGGUACUUAGAUAAGAAGCACCGGCUAACUACGUG
rnacentral:rRNA from 1 species